GUCCUAAUGGUGUAGUGGUUAUCACGUCUGCUCUACACGCAGAAGGUCGGAAGUUCAAGCCUUUCUUGGGAUA